rnacentral:rRNA from 1 species
UGGGCGAAAGCCUGAUCCAGCCAUGCCGCGUGUGUGAAGAAGGUCUUCGGAUUGUAAAGCACUUUAAGUUGGGAGGAAGGGUUGUAGAUUAAUACUCUGCAAUUUUGACGUUACCGACAGAAUAAGCACCGGCUAACUCUGUGCCAGCAGCCGCGGUAAUACAGAGGGUGCAAGCGUUAAUCGGAAUUACUGGGCGUAAAGCGCGCGUAGGUGGUUUGUUAAGUUGGAUGUGAAAUCCCCGGGCUCAACCUGGGAACUGCAUUCAAAACUGACUGACUAGAGUAUGGUAGAGGGUGGUGGAAUUUCCUGUGUAGCGGUGAAAUGCGUAGAUAUAGGAAGGAACACCAGUGGCGAAGGCGACCACCUGGACUGAUACUGACACUGAGGUGCGAAAGCGUGGGGAGCAAACAGGAUUAGAUACCCUGGUAGUCCACGCCGUAAACGAUGUCAACUAGCCGUUGGGAGCCUUGAGUCUUAGUGGCGCAGCUAACGCAUUAAGUGACCGCCUGGGA